GUAGGUGGCAAGCGUUGUCCGGAAUUAUUGGGCGUAAAGCGCGCGCAGGCGGUUCUUUAAGUCUGAUGUGAAAGCCCACGGCUCAACCGUGGAGGGUCAUUGGAAACUGGAGAACUUGAGUACAGAAGAGGAAAGCGGAAUUCCACGUGUAGCGGUGAAAUGCGUAGAGAUGUGGAGGAACACCAGUGGCGAAGGCGGCUUUCUGGUCUGUAACUGACGCUGAGGCGCGAAAGCGUGGGGAGCAAACAGGGAUUAGAUACCCUGGUAGUCCACGCCGUAAACGAUGAGUGCUAAGUGUUAGGGGGUUUCCGCCCCCUUAGUGCUGCAGCUAACGCAUUAAGCACACCGCCUGGGGAGUACGGCCGCAAGGCUG
rnacentral:rRNA from 1 species